rnacentral:rRNA from 1 species
UACGUAGGGUCCGAGCGUUGUCCGGAAUUAUUGGGCGUAAAGAGCUCGUAGGCGGCUUGUCACGUCGGAUGUGAAAGCCCGGGGCUUAACUCCGGGUCUGCAUUCGAUACGGGCUAGCUAGAGUGUGGUAGGGGAGAUCGGAAUUCCUGGUGUAGCGGUGAAAUGCGUAGAUAUCAGGAGGAACACCAAUGGCGAAGGCAGCUCGCUGGAACGGUACUGACGCUGAGGCGCGAAAGCGUGGGGAGCGAACAGG